rnacentral:rRNA from 1 species
AUGAACGCUGGCGGCGUGCCUAAUACAUGCAAGUCGAGCGAACGGACGAGAAGCUUGCUUCUCUGAUGUUAGCGGCGGACGGGUGAGUAACACGUGGAUAACCUACCUAUAAGACCGGGAUAACUUCGGGAAACCGGAGCUAAUACCGGAUGAUAUUUUGAACCGCAUGGUUCAAAAGUGAAAGACGGUCUUGCUGUCACUUAUAGAUGGAUCCGCGCUGCAUUAGCUAGUUGGUAAGGUAACGGCUUACCAAGGCAACGAUGCAUAGCCGACCUGAGAGGGUGAUCGGCCACACUGGAACUGAGACACGGUCCAGACUCCUACGGGAGGCAGCAGUAGGGAAUCUUCCGCAAUGGGCGAAAGCCUGACGGAGCAACGCCGCGUGAGUGAUGAAGGUCUUCGGAUCGUAAAACUCUGUUAUUAGGGAAGAACAUAUGUGUAAGUAACUGUGCACAUCUUGACGGUACCUAAUCAGAAAGCCACGGCUAACUACGUG